rnacentral:lncRNA from 1 species
GACUCAUUGAAAUUUCUACUACAUUGAAGCGCACCACAUACUCGUAGAGGAAUUUACCCUCUUGCUAUUUAAUAGAGAAAAGACUGUUCAUAUUUUUUAAAUGAAGUCGGUUAUUACUGAAGUAAGUAUUGCCUAGUUAGACAACCCAAGAGGAGAGGGGGGAGGGGUGAAUUAGACUAUUAAAAUUUUUAACCAUGGAGUGCAGUAAAUAAAUGCUGAACUAAAAAUAGAUGAAGUAAAUAAGGAUGCACAUAUACAAAAACAGUAAAUUUAUAGUGGUUCGGUGUAUUUCAAGCACCUACAUCUACUCCCUAAGCGAUUCUUUGAAAAUUUCACUAUAAUCGACUUGAUUAUAGUGUGUUUGUUUUGUCCGGGCUCACAAAUAAACUUAAUUAAUUUUAGCUCA